AGCUGUGGUAGAUGGACUUGCAUUAUUCCAGCAAAUUAAAUCUUCUUCUCAGGGAAGAACGUACCUGCUUUCGUCUUCCUGUGUCUCUUGGAGCAAGGAGGAAAAAAUACAUGGAGCACAACAGCUUUGAGUUAAUCUCGCGUCACCCACUGCAAUGUUUGAAUAAAGUAACAGAAGCCCAAGGAAUGGAGGCAUCUUGCCUAAAGUCUUCUUCCCCAGGAAAGAGUCUAGCAUAAGGGAUGAUGAUAUCUACUUCCUUUCUCUUUUCCUGCCAGCUGGGACCCAUAUGUGAUGAUAGGAGCAGGAGCAGCCACCUUGGAGUCAAAGAUGAAAGUCAUGUCUGGAGGAUGAUGUCAUCUGACCUCUGAUCUGUUACAAGAUAGCACUUUGUUCAUGCGAUUGUGUUUUGAAAUUUGUUUGGAGGUUUGUUAGAGUGCCUUAGACUGUACCCUGAUGCAAUGUCCCUCAAUGCUCAAUUCAAAUGGCAUGUACUCUGGGAAGAUUUCCAGAUUUCCACCUCCUUUGGUCAUAUACCAAUCAGAACUGAUCACUCUUAUCCCAGUGCUCUCUGUAUUUUGAAAAUAUUUUUAUCAGCACUUAUAAUCCUCUAGUUUUAUUAUAGUGAUUUUAAUUUAGUAUCAGUUGCCCAACAUAGAAGCCUUACCUAUGCUACUGCCUAAGCUGGGCACCCCUGUCCUGUGCUCUCAUAACACCCUGUACGUCUAUCCAACAACUAUACUUAAAUUUACUUUUUUAGUAUUUAUCUUCCUACUGUCCUGUAUAAGCUCCACAUGGACAGAACCUUGGCUGCCUUUCUGGUAACUGUAUCUCCAGUUCCCACAGGAAAUCUGGGACAUAACAGGCACAUAGCAAAUGUUUGUUGGAUAAACAAAUGAUCUCCUUAAAGUAUGGAUUACUUACAUUUGUA
rnacentral:lncRNA from 1 species